GUAGAGAAGGUAAAAAGGAAGUCUAUAUAAGGAGGGGAACGAGCUUUGUUUAUAGCACAAGUGAAACUCCACUUUAUUGAACGAUGGGGUCUCAAAUGGGCUGCCUCUUUGCCACUCUUUUGGUAGUAUCAGUCUCUCUUAGCUACUUGCCGUUAGAAGCCUCCGCAAACAAAUACUACUACACAUCUCCUCCCCCUCCCAAAUACAAGUCUCCACCACCACCCCCGCCACCGGUUCACAAUUCUCCACCACCACCCCCGGUUUACCUGCCCCCGCCACCUCCUCCACCAGUCUACGUGCCUGCUCCGGCACCAACUCCAAUUUUCCCUUCUCCGCCACCUCCUGUCCCCAAGUCCCCACCACCACCUCACCCUUACAUCUAUGCAUCUCCCCCUCCUCCUUACUACUACUAGAAAGUGGCCAUGAAUAGCUCAUGCUUUUAUGGUAAUCUCAUUUAUUUUUAAAACUGUACAUGUAAAGACUAGUAGUUCAGAAUUACAUUAAGCAUUUCAAUUUUAAGCACCGUGUUCUGUUUAAUUGCGUUCCUAUUGAUUAAGUGACAAAUAAAAGAGAUUGAUUAAUUUGUUCUUGUAGGAGAGGCGAAUGGUUUCCGAAUAAAGAAAGCAAGGGUUUGAUGGAAGGCUUACUUGGAGCAAGAGAGCGAUCAAUCGAGUUGCUGCGUUUUAUUCUCUUUUAUCUUUGUUUUUUAAGAAAAAUAAACUGCCACACGUAGAAACAGAAAAUUAAGUUCUUGUCAUUUUCAUGCAUAUGGAUUGUUGCUGUGUGUGUCAAUCAAAUCUCCGUUGUGUCAUUUGUAAUUUUCAACCUUUAUGCAUGCAAAUGCGAGACCUCUUACGUAUAAUAAAAUUAAUAUACUUCCAAAGAUGGUCUUAUCUUGCGUUGACUUUUUACGUUCCUUUGGUGAUGAUUUUGACGUUUGAAAUUGAUGACUAUUGUUUUUGUAAACUCUGACAUGGAUUUUUCGUGCAACUACAGAGCGCAUUAACGAGAGACUUAUCCAUGAGGGUCCAUGCAGAUCAGUGUCUAAUUAACCAAUAAUUAAUAUAACUUAAAAAAUAUAGAGUUAAUAAUUUUUAUGGGUCAUGCUCAAUUGCAGAUGUUCGUACAAAAUUUCUUGCUAAUGUAUACUUGAGUAUGAUAAUAAGUUUUAAUCAUUAUUAAUAAUUCACUUGAUAAUAUUAAACAAAUUUUCAUAUCAAUUAAGUUACAAAAUUUCUGUGACAAAUUUCCACGUACUGGAACCAUGCAAAAGGGCUUUAUUCAAGCAAAGCUGCAUAGCCGUUGGCAAUUAAAAUUAUUUAUCAAUUAAGUUAAGUAGUAAGAAUUGGAUUGUGGAUUCCAUUAAUUAUUUCAAGGAAAAUUUUAUAGAUAAUGCCGUAAUGAAAUUUACGGCAUCAAUAUCACGAUAAAUAUAAAUAUUGUAAAUUACAAAUAGAAUUAGUAAAUGUAAAGUAAAACCAGUAAAUUCAUAAAAGAUUAUUAAUUAUUUAAAAAAUUAACAUUGUGUUAUGUUUGCAAGUUUUUGUUUUGUUUACUAGUUUUAUGUUAUGUUUGCAAGUUUUUGUUUUGUUUACUAGUAAUAGAUUAAUGGGUAAUUUUUAAUUGAGUCCUCAUUAGUUCUAGAAAAACAAUUCAGAGACCAGAAGUUUACUAAAUGAAUCAAUUAAAUUCUUUCAAGUACAAACUAAUGUCAUUCAAGUCCUUAACUUAAUUGGUCAGUUAAAAAUAUUAACAACGUCGAGGACAUUUUAGUAAAACAACAAUUGAGUCGUUUCUCAUUCUUUAUUUUUGACAGGUGGAAAUAGUUUAAAGUAAACUCACUUAACCUGAUUAAGUUAAGGAUCAGUUCUUUCAAAUGAAAAAAAAAAAAAAAAAAAACCUACAGAAACUGCCAUAUUCUUCGUGUGGGAGGAGAGAUCGAGAGAACGUGGGAUGGUGCAAAAAAUGUUGUAUAAAUCUACUGUGAUUUUGACCAAAGCUUUGGUAGCAUUGAUUGAGUUCAAGUACUGGAGAGAACCUGAGUUUAAAGGUUAGUAACUCUAUUUUUUUAGUGAUUUCUGCAAGCAUUUUCUGAUAAAAAAUUUUCCGUAUUGAGUGAUCGUUGUGAAAAAUUAAGUUUUUCAAGUCUAUUUUACAAAAUGACAAACUAUGUUUAAUUAUUGGUGGAUUCUUUUUUUUGUUCAAUGUUGUAUUUUGUUAAUUUGUUGUUUUUAAUUUGCUCUUAAUGUAAUUGUUAGACCAAAUACACCAUUAUUAUACCUGUAUUCAUUUCAACAAUUUGGUAUCGUUAUAUUAAUAAGAUUGAAUUCAUUGUAUUUGCUUCUUUGUUCAUGUAAAAUUGAAUUCUAUGUAUUCUUAUGAGUGAUAAUUUUUCUAUCUAUUAGACUAAAUUCACUAUAUUCACGACUUUCUUUCUUUUUGCUGGGCUAUUUUUUCUUUUUAGUUUAUAUUUUUUAUAUGUAUUAGAUUGAAUUUGCUUUUGUACGUUUUUUUAGCCGAAUUACAUGUAUAUUUUAUUUAGGUUGAGUUUUUUUGUUGUUUGCUAAAUAAAAUUCUAUUGGUUUAUCAUUUUUUGAUGCAAUACUUUUUGUUUAAAAUUAAUGCAGGUAGCCAUGUUACCUUUUUUUCGGUUAAAAUUAAUUGGGUGAUGUAUGCGAUAUAGGGAACCAGAGGAAUAUAAGAUUAUUAGGUUGUUUCUUGAAAUUCAAGAUGUCAUGGUUGAGCAUGGACACAGUGAAAUGGAUUUGAUUGAAAUUUCUGUUGUAUUGCCAUGGACUACAAGUAGGCAGAGGAAGCUAAUUUCAAACGAUAGUGAAUUGUAUUGGGUUUUCGAGGAGUUUUUUUUUUUUUUUUAUCAAUAGUUGUCCUGUCAUUGAGUUUGAGGUGCACAUUGGGUCAGGUGGUCAGUCAUUUCAUGAAAGUGUUGUAAUAGGACCUGAAAAUCCUGUCAAUAUAGGUGUUAGUGUUAUAAUAGUGAUAAGUUUGAAAAUCCUGUGGCUAAAAAGGGUAUGCCUAGAAUAAUUGGUACUUCUUUAUUUGCCUCAAAGUUCAACACUAUGAAAUCCACCAAGAAAAAGAAUUUAUCCACUUUAACCAGCAAUCUUCAAUCUUGCCUUCAGGAUAAGCAUGAGAUCUGUCAGCACAUUGCAAUGACACUGUGGUUGGUCUGACUUCUCCAACUUCCAAUUGCUUGAAUUCUGAUAAUGUCAUAAGAUUGAUGGCUUGCUCUCAAAUCACAAAGUGUCUUGCCACUGUAUUUAGUUCCUAUGGAACAAGGAAUUGUGAAACUUCCUGGAUCCUUCAACUUCUGAGGCAUUUUACUCUGAAGCAUAUGGCUGCAUUCUUGUGUUAGAGCAACUAUUUCGAAUUCUCCAAGCCUCCACUACUAGAAAAACAGGCUACUAUGACAGAAUUUUUGUGAUAGAUAUCAGAAAAUUAGUCAUUUAUCACAAAAAUAUAACAUACAUGUGAUAGAAUUUUCAUAUAUCAACAAGGCAUGAUAGAUUUGUGAUAGUUUCUUUAUCUGUCACUUGUACAUGAUAGCAUAUUAAUAUAGUAAUGAAACGGUGAGUUUAAGAUUGGCCAAUUUGGGCAUUGAACGACACCGUGUCUUGAAGCCUUUAAAAAAAAUUCUAAGUGUUGGACACUCCUUUGAACUUCACAUAGAAAACCCUAAUUUCUACAUCCAAACUGAAUCACACAAAAAUACACCAUCACACUUGCCGCCAAUAAAUUGUUGUUGUUCGUCUUUGUCGUCAUCUUCAUCCCCACUCCACAGCUUGCUGGCUAUUCCCAUUUCCCUUUUAUAGCUUGAACAACUGAUCUUCUUCAAGUUCGAGCCACUGUUACUGACUUCUUUCGGGAGAGGUAAGUGAUUAAUUCUUUUUUUUUUUUGAAGAGACAACAAUCACCAUAAAUUUCUCAAAAUCCCUAAAAUUAUGCCAAAAAAAGGAAAAAAUAAAGCCGUUCCAUGGCCUUAAAGGACUGACUUCGAGUUCGUGGACUAACGUGCCAACGACUCCGCUUUAUGGCCUUCGUGGAACGAUUCCGUGACACGCGAGUGGCAGCGUGCUAUUUACGUGGAGUCGGAUCGGAGAAGAUUGUACUACGAGGAGUUGGCGAUGUGAGAAAGACAGCGAGUUAGCUACUACGUCUUCGACUUAGGGUAAAAUUUUGGCAGAAUUUGAACUGAAAUUUAGUGGGUUUUGAGUGGUAAGACGAGGUUUUGAGAGAGGAAAAGGAGUGUUUGGCUGGCGAGAAAGUGAGAGAAAGUUUUUGAGUGUGGAGUGAUGGCUUCUCUGUUUUUACUUCUUUAUUGUUCUUUAUUGAGUAGAUGGUGACGAUACAAACUUUUAACAUUGUUUACUUAAUUAAUUGGAUAACAAUCUUACAUGACUAUUUUGAUUUAUCAGAUAAAUCAGUUAGAGAAGAAUGGAGAUGUUGUUGCUCAGGCACGAGCAAUUACAGCAAUCUAGACACUCUGCCCCGUCUUUCUUUCAAUGUUGUUGGCACACUGAAUAAUUUCCUUAGUGACAAGUUAACCAAAUUUAGAGGUAUAUGUGAUUUUGAUUUGACUUACUCUUAAUGAAAUACAAUAAGGAUUUUUUCUGUUGUUUCUAGGCCUUUUGGAGAGUUCGGAUUGAAGCAACGUUUGCCUUAGCUAAUACAACAUCUAAGGUAUUGUUAUUAUUCUCACCUUUAUUUAUUAAAUAUAUUGAGCACAUGGUAGGUCCACCAAAAUGUAUGCAAAAUCUAUUCACCAGAGGUAUUCGCAUAAAGUGAAUUUUUGUGAGAGACUAUUCUUCAACUGUGAAAACUACUUUGGUAGUUCUCAAACCCAUUACAAUUGAUUGGUGCUUGUGUUUUUCUAUUAGAAAGAUAUCUUCUGUAAAAUCUUUGUGAACUACAUUUUUGGAAAUGCAAAUGCUUUGUGUGGUGGUGAUUGUGCUUAUUUGCUUGGUCUUCUAGCAUUUCAGUGAAAUGAUUUAUUUUGACUUGUGCUUAUGACUAACUUGUUGACAGAGAAACUAGGCCAUUUAUGGAUGCACUGAUAUGAAUCCUAUAAUUUUUCUCUUAAUUGACAUGUUGAACUUUUUGGAAGAUAUUUUUUUUUUAUUUGAUUUGUCACAUAUUGUGCUUUAUUAGUUGGAAAUGUUUUGGUUUGUGGACCAUGUUGCACUUACCAGUUCUCAAUAUUGAUAUAUGAUAUAUACACACUAUUGUACUGGAAAUUGAUUGAGUUGGUUUGCUCCAUCUGGUGAAAUUUUAUAAAAGUCGAAGGUUUGAUGAGAAUAUUGGACUCCCCAAGUGAGAAUCUAUCUAAGUUUGAAAUUGUUCUGAUAUCGUUGCUGCAGCACUUUGUUAACGUUUUUGUUUUCUGCUGAUCAUUCCAGGCCAAAUGAUAUCCGUGAUUUUUCAGAGUAUUUGUUCUUGAGGUAAUGCCUUGAGGUAAGGUAUGUAAUGAGUUGUGUGAAGUGGGAUGUGAUAAUAAUUUUGCCCUCGCUUCAUGUGAUGAAAUCCCACAUAAUUUGCCCUUGCUUUAUGUGAUGAAAUCUUUGGGUGGUUUGUUUAUUUAGUGUUUUUCUAUUUCUUUUUAUAUGCUAAUUUUCAUAGUUCUAGAGCAAGUCUUUCUCUAGUCAUUUUGAAAUACUUCCACAUGCUGCUUCUUAAGCCAAGAUUGUCUUGCCCUAAUGAACAAGUUAAAUGGAUUUGCGUUGCUUGGAGUCUCAGUGUAAUAUAUGUGUUUUAGAACUUAGAUUGAUAAACAAAUUUGAACAAAUACAGUGGAAUAAGAAUAAAGAGAAGAUUAAAAAAAAAAGAGUAGAAAUAAAGAAAAGGAUGGUGAAACUUUAGGAGAAUAGGGGAAUCAAGAGAAGAGGAUAGAAUUUUGAUGGAUUUUAUUUAAUUAUGUAACGGAGGUUUUGUGUUGUUAGAUGUUGUGCGUUAAUUAAUUUGUAAUCUUGGAAAAAUACUUUAUCAUGAAUUGGGUUAAUUGUAAGUGGUCAAUACACUAAUAUAUAUUCUUCUAGCACUCAUCUAAAUGUAAUAUGUGUUUCAGGUGAUGUUGGUGGCUCUUGGGAAUUUACUAUCAGUGUUCUUUUUACGAAUUAAUUGUUUUUCUAAUGAUGGGGUAGUGAUUGAAUAUUGUAGAGAAUUUAUGAGUUAUUCUUACGGAUUUGAUUCACCAUGUAUUUUGAUGAUACUAUUUGUUGGAAGUUUCAAGUAAUUGAAAUUUUUAGUAUAUGGUGAUAUUUGGUAUUUGAUAGUUUUUAUGAAUUUGAAUGUAAUUUUUAUUUCAGUUAAUUCAAAUUUUAAAAUGUGGGUUUUGUUAUUUCUAUUUCAAAAUUCUGGAAUUUAAAUAAUAUUAAUUAGUAUUAUUAUAAUUUCAAAAUUAAAAAUAAUAAUUUUAUUUUUUUAAACCUUAAAUCUCAUGACAGAGAAUGUGAAUCAUUAAUAUAUGAAAGAUUUUGAAAAAGCCCACCAAAUUCAAUAUAAUUUAAAUUACCUGCUAAAAUUUCCAAUUAAUUCUCAAAAGCCUUGCAAAACGACGUCGCUUGGUUCGUGACAUAUGCGUGAUAGAUAUACACUGUCACAGAAACAUGUGAUAGAUAAAAUGUUGUCAUAGAUUUAUGAAAGGGGCUACAAUGACAGAUGGAAACUCUGUCAUAAGAGGGGUCGGAUGACAGAUAUUCUCUGUCAUGAUAGCCCAUUUUUCUAGUAGUGCUCAUUUUCCUUGCCAAUAUACAUUUCCAAAACUUUACAUAAUUUGGCAUUUGUUCCAAUGCUUCCACAAAAGGAAUGUUGAUAUGCAGUUGUUUCAAUACUUCCACCACCUGUCCCCAAGUUCCCACCACCACCUCACCCUUGCGUCUAUGCAUCUCCCCCUCCUCCUUACUACUACUAGAAAGCGGCCAUGAAUAGCUCAUGCUUUUAUGGUAAUCUCAUUUAUUUUUAAAACUGUACAUGUAAAGACUAGUAGUUCAGAAUUACAUUAAGCAUCAAAUUUAAGCACCGUGUUCUAUUUAAUUGCGUUCCUAUUGAUUAAGUGACAAAUAAAAGAGAUUGAUUAAUUUGUUCUUGUAGGAGAGGCGAAUGGUAUCCGAAUAAAGAAAGCAAGGGUUUGAUGGAAGGCUUACUUGGAGCAAGAUAGCGAUCAAUCGAGUUGCUGCGUUUUAUUCUCUUUUAUCUUUGUUUUUUAAGAAAAAUAAACUGCCACACGUAGAAACAGAAAAGUUCUUGUCAUUUUCAUGCAUAUGGAUUGUUGCUGUGUGUUUCAAUCAAUUCUCUGGCGUGUCAUUUGUAAUUUUCAACCUUCAUGCAUGCAAAUGCGAGACCUCUUUCGUAUAAUAAAAUUAGGGGAUUGUCACUUUCCCCCUACAGUAAUUAACAUAUAUUAUUUAUUCUCUUACUAUUUUUAUAAUGGCCAAAAACCCACUGACAACAUAAGUUUACAAUAUUACCUUUAUUUUUAACUACUCUUUUAUUUACAUUUAUUAUAAAUUAAAUAAAUUACAUGAAUAGAAACUAAAUAAAAAAAUUAAGUAUUAAAAAUAAGAAAUAUAUGUUGAUAUGAGGAAAAAAAUUAAUAAUAAAAUUUUUUUCUUGUAAUUAUUUAUUUUGUGAACAUUUUCUUAUAACAUUUUGUAAUAUUUUAAAAUUAAAUGUAAAAAGUAUAGGCAAAAUAUUUUAUUAUUUAUCUUAUAAUAAAUUGUUAUUUGUCAUUCAAAUUUUCUUAUAAUAAUUUUUUUUAUCAUUUUAUAAUAACUUUCUUAUAUAUUUAUUAUAAGAAAAUUUUCACAAAAUAAAUAAGUACAAGAAAAAAAAUUUAUUAUUAAUUUUUUUCUCAUAUCAAAACAUAUAAUAAUUUUUUUCUCAUAUCAAAACAUAUAUUUCUUGUUUUUAAUUCCUAAUUUUUUAUUUGAUUUCUAUUCAUGUGAUUUAUUUAAUUUGUAAUAAAUAUAAAUAAAAGAGUAAUUGAAAAUAAAGGUAAUGUUGUACACUUAUGCUAUCAGGGGAAGUUUUGGCCAUUAUAAAAAUAGUAUGGGAAAAAUAGUAUAUGUUGAUUACUAUAGGAGGGAAAUUAGCAAUCUCCCAAUAAAAUUAAUAUACUUCCCAAGACCGUCUUAUCUUGCGUUGACUUUUUACGUUCCUUUGGUGAUGAUUUUGACGUUUGAAAUUGAUGACUAUUGUUUUUGUAAACUCUGCAUGGAUUUUUCGUGCAACUACAGAGCGCAUUAACGAGAGACUUAUUCAUGAGGGUCCAUGCAGAUCAGUGUCUAAUUAACGAAUAAUUAAUAUAACUUAAAAAAUAUAUAGUUAACAAUUUUUAUGGGUCAUGCUCAAUUGCAGAUGUUCGUACAAAAUUUCUUGCUAAUGUAUACUUGAGUAUGAUAAUAAGUUUUAAUCAUUAUUAAUAAUUCACUUGAUAAUAUUAAACAAAUUUUCAUAUCAAUUAAGUUACAAAAUUUCUAUGACAAAUUUCCACGUACUGGAACCAUGCAAAAGGGCUUUAUUCAAACAAAGCUGCAUAGCCGUUGGCAAUUAAAAUAAUUUAUCAAUUAAGUUAAGUAGUAAGAAUUUUAUUGUGGAUUCGAUUAAUUAUUUCAAGGAAAAUUCUAUCGAUAAUGCCGUAACGAAAAUUACACAUAAAAUUAGUAAAUGUAAAGUAAAACCAGUAAAUUCAUAAAAAAUUAUUAAUUAUUUAAAAAAUUAAUAUUGUUUUUACAUAAUUUUAGUGCAAAAUAUUUUAUUUAGUUACAAAAAAAAUUUCUUUAAUUAAACAAAAAAAUUAUACAGAAAAAAAGUGGAAUACGUUUUAUUGAAUUGGUUACCAUAAAUUCUGUAAUUAUUCUAGGACAUUUGUAUACAUUUUUUUCUCAUUUUCUAUAAUGACAUCUAUUUAUUACACAUGUUAAUUAAGCGCAAUUAUUUAUCUUGAUGUGGAUCAAGUAAAAAUAAAAGAAAAGAUAUAUCAAUCAAAUUAGAUAUAAUUUUGAAUACUAUGUAUACUUUAUGUAGUUUCAAACUUUUUACUUGUAUUUGGAGACCAUUUAAGAUUGUUGUUGAAGAAGUGUAGAAAGAUGUAAAAUAACGUCAUCUUACAACAAUUAUAAUGAUAUCUAUUUAUUACACAUGUUAAUUAAGCACAAUUAUUUAUCUUGAUGUGGAUCAAGUAAAAAUAAAAGAAAAGAUAUAUCAAUAAAAUUAGAUCUAAUUUUGAAUAGGGAGAUUGCCAAUUUUCCCCCUACAGUAAUCAACAUAUACCAUUUUCCCCCCUACUGUUUUUAUAAUGGCCAAAAACCCCCCUGAUAGCAUAAGUGUAUAUUAUUACUCUUAUUUUCAACUACUCUUUUAUUUAUAUUUGUUAUAAAUUAAAUAAAUCACAUGAAUAGAAACCAAAUAAAAAAUUAAGCAUUAAAAACAAGAAAUAUAUGUUUUGAUAUGAGAAAAAAAUUAAUAAUAAUUUUUUUCUUGUACUUAUUUAUUUUGUGAAAAUUUUCUUAUAAUAAAUAUAUAAGAAAGUUAUUAUAAAACGAUAAAACCAAUUAUUAUAAGAAAAUUUGAAUGACAAAUAAAAAUUUAUUAUAAUAUAAAUAAUAAAAUAUUUUGUCUAUACUUUUUACAUUUAAUUUUAAAAUAUUACAAAAUGUUUAUUAUAAGAAAAUGUUCACAAAAUAAAUAAUUACAAGAAAAAAAUUUUAUUAUUAAUUUUUUUUGCUCAUAUCAAAUCAUAUAGUUCUUAUUUUUAAUACUUAAUUUUUUUAUUUAUUUUCUAUUCAUGUAAUUUAUUUAAUUUAUAAUAAAUAUAAAUAAAAGAGUAGUUAAAAAUAAGGGUAAUAUUGUAAACUUACACUGUCAGGGGGUUUUUGGCCAUUAGAAAACAACAAGGGGGUAAAUGGUAUAUGUUAAUUACUGUAGAGGGGAAAGUGACAAUCCCCCUUUUGAAUAUUAUGUAUACCUUAUGUAGUUUCAAACUUUUUACUUGUAUUUGGAGACCAUUUAAAGUUGUUGUUGAAGAAGUGUAGAAAGAUGAAAAAUAACUUCAUCUUACAACAACUGUGAAAGAUAUUAAAAUAAUAUUUUUUCAAAAUCCAAUUUUUAGCAUAAAUUUCAUCCUUAAUUAAACAUCACAUGUAUUAUAUAAAUGAAAAACUAACAUUAUUCAAUUUAAAUUAAAAAAUAAUAAAUAUAUGAGGUAAUAAAUAUUAUAACGAGUUUUUAUUUUAAAAUUGUAAACUUUUGUUUCUGACAGUAACUCUUAUAUUAAUUUACUUAUUUUGCCUUUUAUUCAUAAGUUUUAUGCAUAAUCUACAAACUUUAUGUUUUAUUUUGCAUUUAAUGUUGAUUUACCUUUUUUAUAUUAUAUUUAUAAGUUUUCAUUUGAUUUACCAGUAAUACAUCAAUUUAUCAAUUUUAUAGUAAUUUACUUAUUUUACCUUCUUUUUACAAUUCUUAUGUUUCAUUUUCAAAAUUUAUGUUUUAUUUUACAGUUAUUGAUGAUUUACUAGUUUUAUAUUAUGUUUGCAAGUUUUUGUUUUAUUUACUAGUAAUAAAUUAAUGGGUAAUUUUUAAUUUAGUCCUCAUGUUUUCGAGAAAAAAAUUCAGAGACUAGAAAUUUACUAAAUGAAUCAAUUAAAUUAUUUCAAGCACAAACUAAUGUCAAUCAAGUCCUUAACUUAAUUGCUUAGUUAAAAAUAUUAACAACAUUGAGGAUAUUUUAGUAAAACAACAAUUGAGCCCUUCCUCAUUCUUUAUUUUUGACAUGUGGCAAUAGUUUAAAGUAAAUUCAAUUAACCUAAUUAAGUUAAGGAUCAGUUCUUGCAAACGAAAAAAAAAAAAAAACCUACAAAAACUGCCAUAAUCUUCGUGUGAGAGGAGAGAUCGAGAGAAUGUGGGAUGGUGCCAAAAAUGUUGUAUAAAUCUACUAUGAUUUUGACCAAAGCUUUGUUAGCAUUUGUUGAGUUCAAGUACUGGAGAGAACCUAAUUAUAAAGGUCAGUAACUCUAUUUUUUUAGUGAUUUUUGCAAGCGUUUUUUGAUAAAAUUGUUUCCAUAUUUAGUGAUCGUUGUGAAAAAUUAGGUUUUUCAAGUCUAUUUUUCUAAAUGACAAACUAUGUUUAAUUACUGGUGGUUUUUUUUUUAUUGAAUGUGGUAUUUUGUUAAUACAUUGUUUUUAAUUUGCUCUUCAUGUAAUUAUUAGACCAAAUACGCCAUAAUUAUAUUUGUAUUCAUUUCAACCAAUUGGUAUUGUUAUAUUAAUAAGAUUGAAUUCAUUGUAUUUGCUUCUUUGUUCAUGCAAAAAUUGAAUUCUAUGUGUUCUUAUGAGUGGUAAUUUUUCUAUAUAUUAGAAUAAAUUCACAAUAGUUGCUAAUUUCUUUCUUUUUGCUGGGUUAUUUUUUCUUUUUAGUUUUUAUUUUUUAUAUGUAUUAGAUUGAAUUUGCUUUUGUACUUUUUUUAGCCGAAUUACAUGUAUAUUUCAUUUAGGUUAAGUUUUUUUGUUCUUUGCUAAAUAAAAUUGUAUUGGUUUAUCCUUUUUUGUUGCAAUACUUUUUGUUUUAAAUUGAUGCAAGUAGCCAUGUUACCUUUUGUUUUUCAGUUAAAAUUAAUGGGGUGGUGUAUGAGAUAGGAUAUAGAGAACCAGAGGAAUAUAAGAUUAUUAGGUUGUUUCAUGAAAUUCAAGAAUUCAUGGUUAAGCAUGGACAUAAUGAAAUGGAUAUGAUUGAAAUUUCUAUUGUAUUGCCAUGGACUACAAGUAGGCAGAAAAAGCUAAUUUCAAACGAUAGUGAAUUGUAUUGGGUUUUUUAGGAGUUUUUUUUUUUAUCAAUAGUUGUCAUGUCAUUGAGUUUGAGGUGCACACUGGGUCAGGUGGUCAGUCAUGUCAUGAAAAUGUUGUAAUAGGAUCUGAAAAUCUUAUCAAUAUAGCGGUUGGGUGGGUAGUGAUAAGUUUGAAAAAUUUAGUGAGGAUGGCUUUAUCGGAGGGCUCUCAUCUAAUGAAGAGAAUGGUCUCUCACAUAUGUAUAAAUCCAUUGUUGAUAAUGAGUAGAAACCAAAUCCAAAUAGUUUAAUUAGUCUAAAAGUAGGAAAUACAUUUGAAUCUGUUGCAUUAUUAAGAGAGGUUAUAAUGAAGUAUGCAAUCGAAGAGGGUUUUUAGUUGAAUAGGAUUAAAAAUGAUGGUGUUAGGUAUUAUGUCAAUCUAAAAUGCACUUGGAAACUUAAUGCUUCAUCGAUGGUUGACGGGAUAACUUUUAAAAUUAGGUAUAUUAAAGGGAAACAUGAUUGUCAGAUUAAAUAAGUUAACAAAGAUGCAACAGCACAUUGGAUGAUGUACAUGUCAUAAUGAGAGAGCUAAAAGAUAAACAUAGGAUUGAAUGUGAUAAACAAGAACUAUGCAGGGCAAAAGAAAUUGCACUAAAAAACCUAGGUCUUGACCAUGUUGCUUGCUAUGGAAAGCUUUUGAAAUAUGCUCACAUUCUAAUGAAAAUGAGUAGAGGUGCUUGUGUCAAGCUAAAGUUGAUAGGCCAUUGUCAAAUAGCCUAGUUUUUCAAAGGUUUUUUUAUCAUUUCCCGCACUUAAAGUGGGGUACCUAACUGGGUGUAGACCUUUCAUAAGAUUGGAUGGGUGUCACUUGAAUGGGCCAUAUAGGGGAGUAUUGUUAUCUGUUGUUGCAUUAGAUGCUGACAGUAGAAUUUUGCCACUGGCUUUUUGCAUAUGUGAGGCAGAAAACUAUGAUAGUUGGGGUUAUUUUUUUUAUCUUUUUUGUAUGAAUUCAUUGGGGCCGAUGAUCAUAGACCUGUGACUAUUAUUAGUUAUAGACAAAAAGGUCUUUUAUGGCGACUAAAAAAAUAUUAGCCUAAUGCUAGCACUAGAUAUUGUGCUAGGCAUAUCUUUGCCAAUUGGAAGUGCAGGUUUCCUGGUUUGAAUGUGAUGGGGUUAUUCUGGAAAGCUUGUAGGGCUGCAAAUCAAUAUGACUUUGAGAGGGCAAUGAGUUAAAUUAGGGCUAAAGACCAAAAUUGUUGUUGCUUAAAGAUUGUGGGAAUAUGAGAUAUUUCCUUGGAAACCAGCAUUGGCUCUAAGUUAUUGCUUAAAGAUGUCAAACAUGUACCAUAUAUUCUUCUUAAUUUGAUCUCUACAGGCAAGCUUGAUGAUGAUGGUUAUACCAACUAAUUUGGUGAAGGAGUAUGUAAGCUCACCAAAGGCUCCUUAGUGUUAGUUAAAGAGAGGAAAGUAAACACCCUCUAUGUGUGAUAACUCUAUGAAACGAGAGUUAUUAUAGAAAUUCUAAACUUAAAUCAAUAUUACUUACAGAGUAAAUGAUGUGUUUCUAUUGUAUUUUUGUUACAUUGUGUAUAAACAUUCAUUUUAGUUUAGUCUUAAUAAAUUUUGCUUAAUUUAGAAUAAUUCGUGCUUAAAUUGUGUGCAUAAUUAUAGGUGUCUAGAAGCUCAUAUCUCAUGGAAGGAGUGUUGAUGCAAUAGGCUUGUAAAAAUGAGGAAGAACAUGGCUACAAAAGAAUUGAAACAAAUCUGGAAUAAUGUAGUGUUGUAGCCGUUCUUGUAGCAACCAUUGCUGUAGCAAUCCUGGAACAACGAUAGAGAAAAUUUAGCACGAGAUACUUGUAGAAUCAAGAUCUGCAAUUUCUUAAUUUGACUUAUGCGCGCCCUGGGCUUCUGUUUACCCUAGUUUUCAGUUAUAAAAAGAGCACGCAUCAUAUGGUAAAAGGGGCGGUGAAUUAACAGCAAAGAAAUCAAGAGGAAAAGAAUGAAAAAUCAGAAUUCAAGGGAGAACAAGUCUGCACCAGUGAAGAUAUUGGCAUAACUAUUUGGAUUCAAUUUUCAUCGUUCUUUACUUAUCCCUUUUCUUACUCUUUGAUUGAACCGAUGGAUUUCAUCGCUGAUACUUUGUUGUUUGUUUUUCUUUUCCAAAGUAUGAACUAAAUUUGAUUGUAAUUGAGUGACAAACAAUCUCAAUGGGUUCUUGACUGUUCUUAUGAGUUAUUAAAAGAUUGCUGUAGCAUUUUGCUGUAAUAGCUUAUAUUAGAAUUAUUAUUUCGGUUGACCUCCCAUUUAAUGGUUCAAGUUAAGAGAGAGCCACAAAAUGGCAUGUCUUAGUGGAAAUUAUUAGAGUAAUACUUGAUCUUAAUUUAAGUUUUCUGGAUUGAGUUUAACUUGAGCCCCAAAAGAGCCACACUUGAGUUAAGAUUUGUGAAGAACUAGAUAUAGGGAUUCACCUUAUAGGGUAGAGGGGGUGUAUGUUCAUAAUGCCAUACCUUAGGUGAAAUGACAACUGGUCAUUGUUAGAGUGCUUAAGGGUAUGAGAAGUCCAACAAGCGACAGCUGAGGAUGCAAAAUAAUUUUGCACUGUGCUGUUGGAAUUGCUGUAAUAACUGGUGUUUAUUUGAACAGAACAGUCAGCCCAUGAAUAGAGUUUGAUCAUUCAGCUACCUCAUUCUCAUUAAAUUCUUCUUUACGCAAUUCAUCUAAUUUACUUUAUUACUGCAUUUAUUUUAUUAAAAUUGUUAAUUUCGGUAGUAAUAAACUUUAAUUAGAUUUCUCUUUAGAUAAAAGAAAUUUGCACUGUCGUGAUUGCUAUAGCAUUUCUAGUAAUAUCAGUUCAUGUGGAGACGAUCUUGAAUAUUCAUCAUUUUAUUACUUGUUGUGUACACUUGCACAUGAUAUCAAUAGCAAUUGAGUUAAAUUAAAUAACAAGUUUUUGGCGCCGUUGCCGGAGAUUGAUUGUUUAUUUUUGAAGUGUGAAGUCAAUCUUGACAAAUGCCAACUUGAUCUAAUUCAUUCUAUUUAUUGACAGAUCAUGACUUGCAUGGGCAAAGGCAGAUCUGUUGAAUUUCAAUUUGAUCCUGAGAUUGAAAGGACUGUAAGGAGAUUGCGAAGAGAGUGAAGAAAUUCAAAAACUGUUUCAAAAAUGGAUAACUUGCAAGAUGUGGGAAACUUGGAUCCUCACGGGCCACUACAACCUGUCAAUGUUCAAGAGGGGCAAAUGGGCACGUUAAUCAAAGACAACCAAGCAACAACAAUAUCAUUUACAUGGAAGACGAUAGAGAUAGGGUUAUCAGAGAUUAUGUUGUGUUAACUCCUUAAGUUGUACAUCUUGGAAUAGUCAGACCUGAAGUGGAAGCCGCCAACUUUGAACUUAAACCGGUAAUGUUUCAAAUGCUACAAAUAGUGGGUCAAUUUAAUGGACUGUCAUCUGAAGAUCCUCAUCUCCAUCUUAAGUUUUUUUUGGAAGUAAGUAAUGCUUUUAAAACUGCUGGAACAACGCAUAAUGCUUUGAGACUGAGGCUUUUUCCUUACUCCUUAAGAGAUCGAGCAAGAGCAUGGUUGAAUUCCUUACCAUCUGAUUCCAUCACUACAUGGAAUGACUUGGCUGACAAAUUCUUAAUGAAAUAUUUUCCACCAACCAAGAAUGAAAAAUUGCAAAAUGAGAUCACCUCUUUUCAUCAACUUGAAGAUGAGAGCUUGUUUGAGGCUUGGGAGAGAUUUAAAGAGUUUCUCAGAAGAUGUCCUCAUCAUGGCAUUCCCUGUUGCAUACAGCUAGAAACCUUUUACAAUGGGUUGAAUCCAAGUACAAGAUUGAUUGUCGAUGCUUCAGCAAAUGGAGCCCUAUUAUCCAAAUCUUACACUGAAGCUUAUGAAAUUUUGGAGAGAAUUCCUAACAAUAACUACCAGUGGCCAUCAACUGAAAAACUGUAGCAAGAGAAGCAGCAGGGGUACAUAACAUAGAUGCAAUUACAGCACUGUCAGCUCAAGUAACAUCAUUGACUAACAUGGUAAAAGCCAUGACUUCUACUUCUACAGUAGUAAAGCAAGUUGCUGAACUAUCUUGUGUGUAUUGUGGUGAGGAGCAUGUAUUUGACAAACUGUCUAGGAAAUCCAGCAUCAGUAAACUAUGUGGGAAACUUCAACCGACAGCCCUAGAACAACCCAUAUUCAAGUACUUACAACCCUGGAUGGAAUCAACACCCAAAUUUCUCAUGGAGCAAUCAAAAUCAGCAUGCUUCAGCACCUAGUGGACAGAACAAACAUGCUCAUCCACUUGGUUUUCAUCAGCAAAAUUAAGAGCAAAAACACACUAGCCAUGAUCAAAUCACCUCAUUGGAAACACUUUUUAAGGAAUGUAUCGUAAAGAAUGAAGCAAUUGUGCAAAAUCAAGCUGUAUCUCUGAGAAACCUGAAAAACCAAAUUGGACAGUUUGCCACAGCAAUGAGUAGUAGAUCUUAGGGAAGUUUACCCAGCAAAACAGAAGAUCCAAGAAGAGAGGUAAAAAACAUUGUAAAGUAAUCAACUUAAGAUAUGGGAAGAAUGUUGAUAUUGCUGUUGAUGUGACUAAAAAGAGGUUGGAACUUAACUCCUCACAAGAACCACCUCAAGAUGAAAUGAUGUUACAGCAACCCAGCCACUAAGAUACUGGCACUAGUGGUCAAGCUACAGCAACCUUGGAAGAAAAUCACCCAAUACCUAUUGAAGAAGAUGUUGCAACACCAGUGGUGACAAAUUACAAUAAAUCAAAUGAGCAGAUAUUGGUACCUCUUGAAGUUGUACAACAAUUUAGGCAUCCACCUCCUUUCCCACAGAGAUUCCAGAAACAAAAACAAGACUAAUAGUUUAGCAAAUUCCUGAAAGUGCUGAAACAGUUACACAUCAACAUACCUUUUGUGGAAGCAUUAGAGCAAAUGCCUAAUUAUGUGAAAUUUCUAAAAGAUAUUUUAACAAGAAAAAGAAGGUUGGGAGAAUUUGAAACUGUUGCUUUAACACAGGAAUGCAGUCACAUGUUUCAGAGUAAGAUUCCUAAAAAAUUAAAGGAUCCAGGAAGCUUCACAAUAUCAUGUUCAAUUGGAACUAAGUACAAUGGCAGAGCACUCUGUGACUUGGAGCCAGCAUUAAUCUAAUGUCAUUAUCUCUAUUUAAGCAAUUAGGAGUAGACUUUGAGUCUGAUAAAGAGGUACCAAUUAUAUUUGGAAGACCUUUCCUGGCAACCAGGAAGACUCUGAUAGAUGUUCAGAAAUGAGAGCUAACCAUGAGGGUGAAUGACCAACAAGUCACCUUCAAUGUAUUAGAAGCUAUGAAGAGUCCUGAUGAGGCAGAAGAUUAUAAUUUUUUUAGUGUUGUGGACCUUGUUGUGGCAGACAGAAUAAAUAGAUGCUGCAGUAAAAAGGUUAUCAAAGCUGCCACCUUUGAAAGCUUUGAAGAAGAAAAUGUUACAGCAAACCAGAUAGAUUGGAUGGUAGAAAGGCAAUCUAAAAGACAUAGCAGAUUUAUCGAACCUCUAAAUCUUUCAAACAGGGACAUAAAGACAACUUUACCAUCUAUUGAAUCAACUCCUACUCUUGAAUUAAAAUUGUUACCUUCACAUUUGAAAUAUUCAUAUCUUGGUGAGAACAAUACACUUCCGGUAAUCAUUUCAUAUUCUUUAGAUGCAGAUCAAGAAAGAAGUCUGGUAUAUGUGCUUAGGAAAUAAAGAAAAACAAUUGGAUGGACUAUGACAGACAUUAAACGGAUCAGCCCAUCCAUAUGCAUACAUAAAAUUCUGUUAGAAGACUGCUAUAGCAAUUCAGUAGAGCAACAGAGAAGGCUAAACCCCAUUAUGAAGGAAGUUGUAAAGAAAUAAAUCAUCAAAUGGCUGGAUGUUGGGAUCAUAUACCUGAUAUCAGACAGUUCAUGGGUGAGCCCAGUACAAUGUGUUCCAAAGAAAUAAGGAAUAACAGUAAUAGAAAAUGAAAAGAAUGAACUUAUUCCUACAAGAACAAUGACUGGAUGAAGGGUAUGUAUGGAUUAUAAGAAGCUCGACAAAGCCACACGGAAGGAUCACUUCUACUUUCAUUUAUAGAUCAAAUGUUAGACAGAUUUGCUGGAAAAUAAUAUUAUUGUUUCCUAAAUGGGUAUUUAGGUUACAACCAAAUUGUUAUACCCCCAGAAGAUCAGGAAAAGACUACAUUCACCUGUCCUUAUGGAACUUUUGCCUUUAAAAGAAUGCCCUUUGGUCUGUGUAAUGCUCCAGCAACUUUCCAGAGAUGUAUGAUGUCUAUUUUCUCAGAUAUGGUGGAGCAAACAUUGGAAGCCUUCAUGGAUGAUUUCUCAGUUUUUGGAGAAACAUACACUGAUUGUUUACAUAACUUGGAAGAAGCUCUUAAAAAAUGUGAGAUGACUAACUUAGUACUCAAUUGGGAAAAAUGCCACUUCAUGGUGCAAGAAGGCAUAAUGUUGGGUCAUAGAGUGUCCAAGAAUGGCAUAGAGGUAGAUAAAGCAAAAAUAGAAGUGAUAGAUAAACUGCCACCUCCCACUUCAGUCAAGGGUAUUAUAAGUUUUUUGGGACAUGUUGAAUUCUACAGAAGAUUCAUAAAAGACUUCUCCAAAGUAGCUAAACCAUUAUGCUCACUACUAGAACAUGACAAGCCUUUUCAUUUUGAUAAAGACUGUCUUUAAGCUUUUAAAGAAUUGAAGAAAAUUUUGAUCAUUGCACCAAUGGUUAUAACACUAGAUUUGACUCUAUCUUUUGAGCUGAUGUGUGAUGCCAGUGACCACUCUGUUGGGGCAGUGCUGGGGCAGAGAAAGAAUAAGAUUUUCCACUCUAUAUACUAUGCCAGUAAAACUCUUGUUCAAGCUCAGAUUAAUUACACCACUACAGAAAAAGAGCUGCUAGUAGUAGUAUUUGAUUUCAAUAAGUUUAAAGCUUACUUGGUGGGUACUAAAGUGACAAUCUACACAGAUCAUGCAGCCAUCAAGCACUUAAUCUCAAAGAGAGAUGCCAAACCAAGAUUAAUAAGAUGGGUAUUAUUGCUUCAAGAGUUUGAUUUGGAAAUUAAGGAUAGAAAGGGGACUGAAAAUCAAGUAGCAAACCAUCUAUCGAGGCUGAAAGCAAAUACGAGCACAUUGACUAAACAAGACAUCACUGAAACAUUUCCUGAUGAACAACUGUUAGUGCUAUAACAUGCACAGAUGCUACAGCAACCGAGAUCUCCAUGGUAUGGAGAUUUUGCUAACUACUUAGUAAGUGGAUUGCUACCACCUGGGUUGAAUUUUCAGUAGAAAAAGAAAUUUCAUUUUCAGUAGAAAAAGAAAUUUCAUUUUCAGUAGAAAAAAAAUUUUCAUUUUCAGUAGAAAAAAAAUUUUCAUUUUCAGUAGAAAAAGAAAUUUUCAUUUUCAGUAGAAAAAGAAAUUUUUUCAUGAUGUUAAAAGCUACCAGUGGGAUGAUCCAUACUUGUAUAAGUUAUGCUUAGAUCAGGUAAUCCGAAGAUGUGUUUCAGAGGAAGCAAUUUCACAUAUACUGCAAUAUGGCCAUGCUGCAGCAUAUGAAGGACAUUUUGGUGGACAAAGAACAACUGCUAAAGUUCUACAAUCAGGUUAUUACUGGCUUUCUAUUUUUAAGGAUACUUAUGAGUUUGCUAAACGUUGUGACAGAUGCCAAAAGACAGGAAACAUAACUCAAAGACAUGAAAUGUCAUUAACAAACAUUCUGGAAGUGGAGAUUUUUUAUGUAUAGGGAAUAGACUUCAUGGGCCUUUUCCCACCAUCCUUUGAGAAUUUUUAUAUCCUGGUUGCUGUGGAUUAUGUCUCCAAGUGGGUAGAAGCUGCAGCAUUACCUAUCAACGAUGCAAGAGCAAUAGUGAAUUUUCUUCAGAAAAAUAUUUUUUCCAGGUUUGGCACUCCACGAGCAAUUAUUAGUGAUGAGGGUACUCAUUUCUGCAACAAAGCAUUUGCUGCAGCAAUGGCCAAAUAUAGAGUCAAACACAAAAUUGCGACAGCAUAUCACCCACAAUCCAAUGGCCAGGCAAAAGUAUCUAAUAGGGAAAUUAAGAAGAUUCUAGAAAAGGUAGUGAAUCCUUCAAGAAAGGAUUGGUCAUUGCGAUUACAUAAAUCUUUAUAGGCUUUCAGAACAGCAUAGAAGACACCACUUGGCAUGUCUCCCUACCAAAUUGUGUAUGGAGCACAAAGCAUAUUGGGCACUGAAGCAAUUAAAUUAGGAUAUACAUGCUGCAACAGAGCAGAGGAAACUUCAACUAUGUGAACUUGAUGAAUUACGGUUAUUCUCAUAUGAAAAUGCAAGAAUCUAUAAGGAGAGAACAAAACAAUGGCAUGACAAGCACAUCCAAUAAAGAAAAUUAAUCCCUGGUCAACUAGUUCUGCUCCAUAAUACUAGGUUAAGACUAUUUCCAGGAAAGCUGAAAUCUAGAUGGUCUGGACUUUUCAAGCUGCUCAGAAUUUACCCUCAUGGGGCUGUUGAACUCUUAGAUGGAAAGACAGGCCAAGAAUUCAAAGUUAAUGGGCACAGAGUUAAGCAUUACAUGCAUUCAGUUACAGAUUGUUCAAAUGAGGUCGUACUCCUUAGUAAACCGGCAUUGUGAGCAUUCAAGAAAGGUCACGUUGAAGGACCUUAAAUCAAACAUUGAAUGGGAGGCAACCCAUUGCUGAGGCAGUCAUUUCAAAUGAAGUGGAUCCUCCAUGUUUUUGUUGUAGUAUUUAUUUAUUUAUUAUUUUUCUUAGUUAGGAUUGUUUAAUUUUUAUCUUUUAUUGUUUUAUUUUAAAAAAAAACGAAACAUGCCAAGUCACGCAAUUCUUAGAGUUGGAUUCAAUACUGACAAUUGGUGUUGUAAUAUUAACAGGUUACAAAGGCAAGUUACUUGACAGCAACCAUCUGAGGAGAUUGUUGUGCAGAUUGCUAGAGCAUACAUUUUGUUGCUGCAACAACCAAUUUUAUUAUUACAGUAACUUAACUACGGAGCCUCACAUUUUACCGUUGGAGAUAACAUGUGACAGCUAGUUGGGUGAACUCAGAUAAAGAUUGGGGAAGAAUGCAUAAUCUCUUAAAUAACUGCAUCAAUAUCUCUUUCCUAUUUUUAUGGGAUAUGCUUAAUAAAUUCAAAAAUUCUUCCCUAAUUUAUCUCUUUUACCAAAUUUAUUUUAUUUAUUUUGCACCUAUAUAAGAGUUUCAUUGUGCAUGUUGACCUCUAACACUAUUUUCUUUUCCCUUCACAGUCACAACCCCUCUAUUUUAUAACCUCUGCUCUUCGUUUCACUCUUGAACAUAUUACCACAGUUAUCCUACUACUGCAGUAAUGCCAAGGUAUAAAAGGACAGCCAGCCGACUAAACGAUCUAUCACAAUUUUAAAGUUACCAUGCGGAAGAGAAGUAUGAAGAAUUUAUUGAACCGCGCAAGAUUUUGGAAGAAAAAGGGCUUCAGUUCCCACCUCAACCCUCUAGAAUUGUGCAAUCAUUAUACGAUGCUGCAGCAAAGCACGGGUGGCUGGAGUUUUGUAACCACCCCCGAGAUCCUGUGUUGGAGCUAUUUGCAGCACUUGGAGGACCACCUACACCAAUUUGUUGUAUAUAUAAAAGUACCCAUAACAAUUUCCCUGAUUCACUGCUACAACAGUACAAUUUUGGUACCUCCAUUAUAGAAGUCAGUGAAGAUGUUGCUGACACAGAUAAACAUGAGGAAGAAACAGCAGCAGAACAGCAAGCAGAUGCUGAUAUAGAUGCUGAUAACCAGUCAGACCAGCAUGAAGAAUAAUGUGUCCAGUCUACAAUUGAUAGUUCCCCGACAGAGGAGGAGGAAAAGCAUGAGAAAGAACUCGAAGAACCCUCAGCCAGGACCUUUUCCAAGUCCAGGAAAAAGCACAUCAUACGAGAAAAGGAAGAUGAACCUGCAGAGGAGCCUCCCAUUCCAUUCCUCUCUCGAAAGGGCAAAGAGAAAGUAAUUACCCCUCCUGCAUCUGACGAUGAAGCCGAGCACAUUGAUGCAGAAUUGGAAGUUGCAGCAGCCAGGGUUACUCGUACACCCAUCGAGACAAAGCAUAUGCUUGAUAUCAUUGCCGCAAUCAUGACUGAGGGGUAUACAGUCGAAGACCCAACUCCAGCUCCCUCACGGCAAACCCCCAGCAAACCUAUUCUCGCUAGUCCUAAAGGACCCAGCAAAAGAAAGGGGGGCACUUCUGGAGGCAUUGCUGCAGUAGACACACCAGAGCCAAAGAGGACCAUAUCUGUUUUGUCCCAGCCAGCUGCACCCACUGCAACUCCUCCUACUAGCCCAUCGCAAAGAAAGAAAAAGUCAUUGCCAACUACCUCACCGCAAGAAUCUCCUAAAGACCGACUGCGGAGCGCCUCCAAAAAGCGGUGAAUUGGUUAUAAUUUAUUGCAGCAGUAUUUCUAGCACCAGGGGAGUACCACUACCCGCUAGUUUAUUUUACUUCUUCAUGCAACAACUUUUUCUUCAUUUAGUUUUAAUUUUCUGAUUUAUUUUGCAUGUCUUUUUAUUUAGUAUAUGCAUAUCUGGUUUAUAUGGUUUUGUUUUGUGUGCCUGUGAAGACACAACACCUUUCAAGUUUUGGGGGGUUGUGCUAUCAUAUAGUGUGUUAUUGAGUGCAUUGCAUGUGUUGUGGUGUUGUUUGUGAAGUGAAGCUCUGUAUCUACUGCUUAUGUAUGGAUUUGAAAGCCUAAUGAAGAUAAAUUGAGUGUUACUCAGUAUGUAUGAGAAUGCCCAGUAGGGAUAGUCAUAGAUGGAGAUUGAAAUUAUGUCCCGACACUUAGACUUUGGUUGAAAUUCAUGAGACUGCUGCAGCAAAAUCAAGAAAACUGCAAAGAGUAGAAAAUAUAUCAAGUUUAGGGGAAAUGUGUGUGUUGAGUUGUGCUUAUUAAAGUCUGUUCCAAUGGCUUAAAUGGUUGAGUAACUACGGCUGAGUAUGUACCCCAUAUGCAGACUUGAGUUAAAAAGCAACAAGAGUUAUGAGCAUUGUUGUAGCAAUUGAAAAAAAAAAGAAAAAAAAAAGAAGUCCUCUGUCUGAGAAAUUGAGUAGCCAUGUCUGUUAAUGAGCCCCAUGUUCAGCCUUGAGUUAAAGAUAUCUUUAGAUAAGACUAUGUUAUGACCAUUGCUAUAGCAACUCUGACAUGUACGUUGAGUAAGUAAUUGGGUGUCAUCAUUACAAGUGAUAGGCAUUCACAUGAAAGUUCAAUGUUGUAUUGAAGGGAGUGAAUAUAUAGAUAUAUAUAUAUAUAUAUAUAUUGUUUGUUGAAGCACAAUUUAUGUUUAUUUGUGAAUUAUGCUCUCCCAUAUAUGAAUAUAUUUGUGUUCUACCUUUGAAUUACAUGCAAUAUCUCUGUAAUGUUGUAGCAUCUCUGGACUUUGAUCAAAGUGGCACACACAUUUUGGACAGAAUGCAGCCUAAGUCUAGAACUGAACUGUUAUGGCUAUUUUGCAUGAUUAAGAGUGUGAUCUGAGGGUGGAAGAAUCCUUGCAACUUUGAUGAUAAAGCUGAGCUAUUUGUUGCAUGAUUGAGUGAUUGAAGUGUUAGCAUUGUUGUCAUUACUUAAAAACAAGUAAUGGUUUAAGUUUGGGGGUGUGAUAACUCUAUGAAAUGAGCGUUAUUAUGGUAAUGCUAGAAUUAAAUCAAUAUUUACUUAGAGAGUAAAUAAUGUGUUUCUAUUAUAUUUUUCUAUUGUAUUUAAUAAAUUUUACUUAGUUUAGAAUAAUUUGUGCUUAAAUUGUGUGCAUAAUUGUAGGUGUCCAGAAGCUCAUAUCUCAUGGAAGGAGUGCUGAUGCAAUAGGCUUGUAAAAAUGAGGAAGAACAUGGCUACAAAAGAAUUGAAACAAAUCUGGAACAAUGUAGUGUUGUAGCCGUUGCUGUAGCAACCAUUACUGUAGCAAUCCUGGAACAACGACAGAGAAAAUUUAGCGCGGGAUACUUGUAGAAUCGAGAUCUGCAGUUUUCUAAUCUGACUUAUGCGCGUCUUAGGCUUUUGUUUACCCUAAUUUUCAGUUAUAAAAAGAGCACGCAUCAUAUGGUAAAGGGGGCGGUGAAUUAACAUCGAAUAAAUAAAUCAAGAGGAAAAGAAGGAAAAAUCAGAAUUCAAGGGAGAGCAAGUUUGCACUAGUGAAGAGAUCGGCAGAACUAUUUGGAUUCAAUUUUCAUCAUUCUUUACUUGUCCCCUUUCUUACUCUUUGAUUGAACCGAUGUAUUUCAUGGCUGAUACUUUGUUGUUUGUUUUUCUUUUCCAAAGUAUGAACUAAAUUUGAUUGUAGUUGAGUGACAAAUAAUCGCAAUGGGUUUUUGACUAUUCUUAUGAGUUGCUGAAAAAUUGAUGUAGCAUUUUGCUCUAAUAGCUUAUAUUACAAUCAUUAUUUCGGUUGACUUCUCAUUUAAUGGUUAAAGUUAAAAGAAAGCCGUAAAAGGGCCUGUAUUAGUGGAAAUUAUUAGAGUAAUACUUGAUCUUAAUUUAAGUUUCCUAAAUUGAGUUUAACGUGAGUGCCAAAAUAGCCACACUUAAGUUAAGAUUUGUGAAGAACUAGAUAUAUGGAUUCAUCUUGUAGGGUAGAGGGGGUGUAUGUUCAUAAUGUCAUACCUUAGGUGAAAUAACAACUGGUCAUUGUUAGGGUGCUUAAGGGUAUGAGAAGUCCAACAAGAGACAGUUGAGGAUGCAAAAUAAUUAUGCCCAUGAAGAGAGUUUGAUCAUUCAGCUACCUCAUUCUCUUUAAAUUCUUCUUUACGCAAUUCAUCUAAUUUACUUUAUUACUGCAUUUAUUUUAUUAAAAUUGUUAAUUUCAGUAGUAAUCAACUUUAAUUAGAUUUCUCUUUAGAUAAAAGAAGUUUGCACUGUCGUGAUUGCUGUAGCAUUUCUAGUAACAUCAAUCCAUGUGGAGACGAUCUUGAAUAUUCAUCACUUUAUUACUUGUUGUGUACAUUUGCAUAUGACAUCAAUAACAAUUGAGUUAAAUUAACCAACAAUGUGUUAGAAGCCAAGAUUAAGAAAGAAGAUGUGAAUGUGGCUAUAAAAGAUUCUGACAUUGAGACAUGGUAUAAAAAGUUUGGUCACAUUGGUGAAAAAGGGUUAGAAACUCUUGCCAGAAAAAGAUUUCUACCCAGCUUCGUAGAUAUGUCCCUCAAGACUUUUGCUCAUUCCUUAGCUGGAAAGACACACAGAGUAGCUUUUAAAAGGUUUUCUCCAUCUAGAAAGUCGCAAAUCCUUGAUUUGAUUCACACUGAUUUUUGCAUGAUGUAAAGUAGAUCAAUUGGAGGUGCACUUUAUUUUGUUACUUUUAUUGAUGACUAUUCUACAAAGGUGUGGGCUUUUGCUUUGAAAUCUAAAGAUCAAGUGCUUGAUAUAUUUAAGUUCUUCCAUACUUAUUUUGAGAGAGAGACGAGAAGAAAAUUAAAAUGCGUCAGGGUAGAUAAUGGUGGUGAGUAUAAAAGGCCAUUUGACCAAUAUUGCAGAUCCCAUAGAAUUAGACUUGAGAAGACCGUACUAAAACCCCACUGUAGAAUGGUAUUGCAGAAAUGAUGAACAGAACAAUUGAAAAGAGAGUCAGGUGUAUGCCUUCUGAUGCCAAGCUUCAUAAAUCCUUCUGGGCAGAGACUAUGCGUUCUGCAGUUGACUGGAUUAAAUUUUUCUCCUUCAGCUCCAUUGAUGGUGAUGUACCUGAGAUAGUUUGGACUGAAAUAUAUGUUUAUUACAAACACUUGAGAGUGUUUGGUUACAGAAUAUAUGUUCACAUUCAUAAGGAUGAAAGAUCGAAGCUUGAUGACAAAGCUAAAAAAUGCAUUUUCUUAGGCUAUGGGCAUAAAGAAUUUGGGUACAGAUUAUGGGAUCCAGUGCCAAGAAAAUUGAUCAGAAGUAAACAUGUUGUGUUCCUCGAAGAUCAAAUAGUUAGUGAUGCAGAGAAUAGUGAUGAGUCUCAGUCAUCUCUAAAGAUUCCUAUUAUUCUAACUUUAGUUUCUUCAUCUAUAGUUCAUAAUGAUCAUGGAGGAGCUGGAGAGGAUAGUAAUGAUGGUCCAGCAGAACUAGUUGACCAAGCACCUCCAGAACCACCUGCACCAUCAAUGGAGCCUGAAUUGAGAAGAUUUACUAGAGAACGGUGACCUUCCACCAGAUAUCCUCCACAUGAGUAUAUGAUGCUUACAGAUGAAGGGGAGCCAUAAUGUUUUGAAGAAGCCAUGUUUCAAAUAACUCACAAUAACGAUACAAGGCUAGACUGGUUGAUGGGGUACCUAGCAACUUCUUGUUGUGUGGGCUGAUCAGACUUUACUUUCUUAGUUUCUGAUUCUUCUUAUGCUUGCAUUGUUACAGCAUAUACGGAGGGUUGUGCCUUUUUACGCUUGUUGGAUGCCCUAGGAGUUCUGCUAGGAGAUUUGAUGGGAGGUUGUUGAGUAAUGCUUACUGUAGUAGUUUCCCCAGAUGUGAUUUUAGCAAUAAUAUCAGGGAAACUCUUAUUUGCUUCAUCAGUUUUUGUAGCCCUGGUAUCAGCUGCUUUAAUUUCUGCAUCAAUAUCAUCUUGAUCAUUGUCUGAUUCUUCAUCAGUCAGAACUUUUUGUUUACCUUUACUUAGAAACACUGUAAUCGGGGGUUCAUCAUCCUGCCCAUCCUAUGUCUCAUCUUCGUAAACUUUUAUGAUGUGCUUCUUUUUACGUUUAGGAGGUACUACUGGAGGUGCCUCAUCCUUCUACGUUGCUGAUUCGUCUUCUGUACUAUAUUCCUCCUCUAUUUCUUCUUAUUAUUUUUCCUUCUUCUCUUUCUCUUCCUCUGCUGGUAGUGGGUCUUUUUCAGAUUCUAAUUCUUCUUCACUCUCUGCUGCUGCCUCAACUACUGGAGCAUCCCUUGUUAAUGUUUGGAAAUUAAACGGCUACAACAAGGAGUCAUGGAAAUCUUUGCUCUUUUUCUUCAUGUAGACUUCAAACUAAUGUCUAUGGUUUUCAAGGUGCAUUAAAUAAUUCCUGAAUCUUUGAUUUUGUUCUUUCCAUGCGUGUACACAUUCAUUAAUGGUGUCACUUAAUUCUUGCAGCUUCAUCUCAAUGCCAGUAACGUUCAUUGCUCUGGUCACAACAACAUACUCUGGUGUUGCUGUAGUAGUAGUUUCCCUAGCAAUUCUUUCAACAAUUCGAUCAGUAAGAGCUCAUUCAUUCUUAAUGCUUUCAUCUUUUGCUGAUAUUUUCACCCGAAAUACCAGACAAAUCCUAGUAAUGAGUGAGCGAAACAACAAAGCAGCAAUCUUGUGAUUUUUCAUGGCACACUCUAAUCUCCCUCUCUAUAAUUUUCCUCACAUCAAUUGGUAUACCCUUGAAAAUGGCAUAUAAUAGGUAAGAUUUUCAUGAGAUACGGUGGUGGUGUAUGUGGUGGGUAUCAAUCGAGAUUUUAGAAAUUUUACCCACACUUUGGCUACUGGUUUCAAAUCAAUUCUAUUCACUCCUCUGCCUUCCUCAUUCAACCAUGAACUACCCUCCACCAUAAGGAUUUCAAGCACAUCACUUCACUCCUUAGCAAUCAUAUUCUCAAUCAUUUUUGAAUACUCACAAUCAAUAUCAUAUGGUAAAUUAUAAAAAAGCAUUGAUUACCCUCGGAUCUAAAGGGACUUGAACAUUCCUUACCACUAUUGUGCAUUGGUCUUGCCGCAACAUGUUGGAGUAAAAUUCCUUAACGAUUGGGAGCACAAGGUCUCGUGGGUGAGUGUAAAAAUCUAGCCAUCUUUUCUUUGCUACAGCAACAUAGAUUGUGUUGAUUGUUCCUGAUGGUUGUUGAGGGAAUUGAAAAUCAUUUUCCUCUAAAAUCUUCUUAGGCUCUAUAAAUUCUUCAAAUUAUCCUCGGCUUUGUCACUAUGGAAGCGUGAGGGGUCCUUUAGUCGAGCAGUUGUCUUCUUGUACCACGUUAUUGCUAGAGCAACAAAACUGAGUUGUUGGGUACCUAAAAAAGAAAAAACUCAUGAAAGUGACUCUAAAGUAUGUGGAGAACUGUGGACUAGAAGAGAAAAAAUUUGGAUAAGAAUGAAAAGAAGCAUUGUGAAACCCUAAUUUAUAGGUCACGGUAAAAUAGAAAAAAAUAAUUAAUGAGGUAAAUUUAGAAAUUGUAUUUGAAAUUUAAAAUAAAUCCACAUUUACGUUCGGGAAUUUAGGGAUUAUGUAAUCCAUUCUUAUUUUUUAUCUUGAUUUCUUGAGCCAUCUAUCAAAAAUUUACUCCCAACGGUGCAAAAAUACUUUCCAUAGUUAUGUCACUAUAACGGUAAGAAUCAUUGCUACAACAAGUAAUAUAGUGCUGCAGCAACUGCGAUAAAGUCCCUAGUUUGAUGAGAACCAUUGUUCAACUGUCAUAUAAAGUGUAAUGCUGCAACAUCUUGUGUCAGUGUUUUAUCCAAAAAAAAUUCAUUAUUAUUUAUACAUGCCGUAAUAAAAUAAUAGACACAAAUAAAUUAGAUAAAAACUUCAAAAUAUCAACAACCGUAAAGAAAAACAUGAAAACUAAAUUUAAUGUUAAAGGAAAAAUUGAAAUAACUCCCUUAAUCAUUGGGUUGCCUCCCAAUUAGCACUUUAUUUAAGGUCUUUCAGUCUGACCCCCCUUAAUUGCUCAAACUGGAUUUAUGAGGCACAAAUCCUCCCUUGAAUGGUGAAAAUCAUCAUUAAUAUAGUGUUUCACCCGCUGCCCAUUUACUAUAAAUUCAAUGCUAGUUCUCUCAUCUUUGAGGUCCACAGCCCCAUGAGGAUGGAUUUUGAUAAGUCCAAAAGGCCCUGACCAUCUAGACUUUAACUUUCCUAAAAAAAAGCUUUGAUCUAGAGUUGUAGAGCAAAACUCAUUGACCUAGAAUUAAAUCCCUUUGCUGGAUGCGUUUAUCAUGCCAUUGUUUUGUUUUGUCUUUGCAAAUCCUUGCGUUAUCAUAAAAGAACUAUCUUAAUCUUUAAACUCACAAAGUUAAAACUUCCUAUGCUCUGCUGCAACAUGCAUGUCCAUGUUCAGUUGUUUUAGCGCCCAAAAUGCUUUAUGCUCUAGCUCCAGUGGCAAAUAGAAAGCUUUGCCAUAUAUAAUUUUAUAUGGUGACAUGCCAAGUAGUAUUUUGUAAGCUGUGCGAUAUGCCUGUAAGGAAUCAUGUAAUCUAAAAGACCAAUAUUUUCUAGUAGGGUUCACCACUUUUUCUAAAAUCCUUUUUAUUUCCUUGUUGGACACUUCUGGCUGACCAUUAGAUUGAGGGUGAUAUAUUGUAGCAACCUUGUGCUUAAUUCUAUAUUUGGCCAAUGCUGCAGCAAAUAUUCUGUUGCAAAAAUGAGUGCUUUCAUCACUGAUGAUGGCUCUAAGAGUCCCAAAUCUUGUGAAAAUGUUCUUUUAAAUGAAUCUCACCAUGGCUUUGGCAUCAUUUGUUGGUAGUGUUACAACUUCCGCCCAUUUGAACACAUAGUUUAUAGCAACUAAAAUGUAUAAAUCCCCAAAAGAGGGUGGGAAUGGACCCAUGAAAUCCAUCCCCCCAACAUCAAAUAGCUCAACUUCUAAAAUGUUGGUUAAUGGCACUUCAUGUUUUUUAGAGAUGUUCCUUGUUAUUUGGCACCUGUCACAACAUUUAACAAACUUAUAAGCAUCUUUAAAAAUAGAGGGCCAGUAAUAACCUGAUUGUAUAAUUUUUUUACUGCUGGUCUGUGGCCUCCAAAAUGGCCUCCAUAUGCUACAGCAUGACAUGAUUGCAGUAUGUUUGAAAUUUCUUCAUCAGAUACAUAUCUUCUAAUCAUAUAGCCUGAGCAUAUCUUGUACAAAUAAGGUUCAUCCAACUGAUAACUUCUAACAUCAUUAAGAAAUCUCUUCUUCUAUUGGUAACUUAGAUUAAGUGGUAACAAUCAGCUCACCAAGUAAUUAGCAAAAUCUACAUACCAUGGAAGCCCAGAUUAUUGUAGCAUAUGUGUAUGCUUUAGCAUUAACAAUUGCUCAUUAAGAAAUGUCUCUGUGAUCUCUUGCUUGAUUAGAGUGCUUUCAUCUGCUUCCAGCCUUGAAAGAUGAAAUUCUCCUUGGUUCUCAGUCCCUAUUCUUUGUUUAAUCUCGAAGUCAAAUUCUUGUAGCAAAAGGAUCCACCUUAUCAACCUUGGUUUGGCAUCUUUUUUUUAAAAUCAAAUACUUUAUGGCUAAGUAAUCUGUGUAAACAGUCACUUUGGUGCCAACCAAAUAAGCUCUAAAUUUGUCAAAUACAAAGACAAUUGCUAGUAACUCAUUUUUCAAUGGUAGUGUAAUUAAUCUGAGCAUCAGCUAAAGUUUUGUUAGCAUUAUAAAUAGAGUGAAAAAUUUUGUUCUUUCUUUGCCCUAACACUGCUCCAACAGAGUGGUCGCUGGCAUCAGAUAUCAACUUAAAAGGUAAGUUCCAAUCUGGUGUUAUAACAAUUGGUGCUGUAGCAAAAGCUUUCUUCAAUUCUAUAAAAGUCUUUAAACAAAGCUUACCAAAAUAGAAAGGCCUAUCAUGCUCCAGCAGCUAGCAUAAGAGUUUUGAUAAUUUAGAAAAUCCUUAAUGAAUGUUAUAUAGAAUUAUGCAUGUCCCAAGAAAUUCCUAAUGCCUUUAACUGAAGUAGGUGGUGGGAGUUUACUAUUUUGACCUUCUCCACUUAUAUUCCUUUUCUAGAGACUUUAUGGCUUAGGAUUAUCCCUUCUUGUACCAUAAAAUGACACGUUUCCUAAUUCAACACUGAAUUUAUCUCCUCACAUAUUUUAAGCAUAUUUUCUAGAUUAUGUAAACAAUCAUCAUAGAUCUCCCCAAAAAUCGAAAAGUCAUCCGUGAAUACCUCAAGCGUUUGCUCUACCAUAUUUCAAAAAAUAGACAUCAUACACCUCUGGAAUGUUGCUAAAGCAUUGCACAAACUAAAGGACAUCCUUCUUAAAUCCUUCUGAAAUAAGCAAAAGUUUCAUAAAGACAAGUGAAUAUUGUCUUCUCCUUAUCCUCUAGUGCUAUAGCAAUAUGGUUGUAGCCAGAAUACUCAUCCAAGAAACAGCAGUACUUUUUUCCAACAAGUAUGUCUAGCAUCUAAUCUAUGAAAGGCAACGGGAAGUGAUCAUUCCUUGUGGCGUUGUUUAGCUUCCUAUAGUUCAUGCAAACUCUUCAUACAGUUACUGUUUUGUGGGAAUAAGCUCAUUCUUCUCAUUUGUUGCAAUAGUCACUCCACCUUUCUUUGGAUCACAUUGUACUGGACUCACUCAGGAGCUGUCGGAUAUUGGGUAGAUGAUUCCAGCAUCAAGUCAUUUGAUAAUCUCUUUCUUGGUCAAUUUGGGUGAGUACUUGCUAGCAAUCCUCUAGCAAUUAAUUUGAAUUCUUAUAGCUAUUUGACAACUAUUAAUUUAUGUUUUUAUAUUUUCAUAUUAAAUAUAUUUAUUUAUUUAUUUUGAUAAAUUUUUAAAAAAUCAUUACUUAAAUUUAAUUAAUGAAAUAUUUUAAAAAAAUAUUAAAUUGAUAAAAUAAAAUUAUAAAUAAUAACUAUUUGAUGACAUUAAACAAGUUAAAAAGUUAAAGGGGUAAUUUUAAAAGCUUUGAUUUCCAAAAGAAGAAGAAUUUGAAUUCUUCAAUUCUUUGUAUAAAAUUCAAAUUCUAUAUUAGGAUGAAUAGUAAAUUCUAAUAAAAUUUAAAUUCUUAUAUAUUUUGUCCAACCAAACAAUUAAAAAAAAAAAUUCAAAUUACUUUCCUAUUCUCUAUCCUCACCUCCCAACCAAACACCAUCUAAACUCCUUAAUAUGCCACCCACAUAUUCAAACACCUUUGAGAAUCAAAGUAUCCCAGAUCUCCAGUAAGGAACCACCCAAAUUGAAAAGUAGUCUUAUUAGCCUCAGGAUUACCUUUAAUCAAAGUAUCCCAGAUCUUGCUAGCAAUCCUCUAGCAAGAUCUUGUACAUACAUAUGGAGGGGCUGAUUCAUUUGAUAUCUUUCAUGGUCUAUCUAAUGGCCUUCUUGUAUCUCCCCAACAUUUCCACUCAGCUCUUUACUUGAUCUGCAUUCAAAGAAGAUGAAAUGAUUACAUGUAGUGUGUUAUUAUCACCAAGAUAAACAUAUUUUAGAUGUGAAGGUAGAAGUUUUAAGUAUAAAACAUGAGGUAAUUCAAUAGAUGGUACAGCAGGUUUCACUUCCCCAUUUGAAAGAUCUAGAGACUCAAAAUGUCUGUUUGUCCUCACAGGUCGCUUCUCUCUUAACUAUGCUAUAUGCGUUGCUGCAGCAUCUUCAUCUUCAAGUUCUUCAAAUGUGGCGGCCUUGAUUUCUUCAUUGUUGCAGCAAUUAUUUAAGAUGUCUGUGACAGUAAGCUUCACAGCACCGACCAAAUCACAAUCUUCAACUUCAUCAAGACUCAUCAUUGCUUCCAAUACAUUAAAGGUAACUUACUGAUCAUUAACCCUCAUACUCAACUCUCAUUUUUUAACAUCAAUUAAAGUUUUUCCUGUGGCUAAAAAGGGUUUGCCUAGAAUAAUUUGUACUUCUUUAUCUGCUUCAAAGUCCAACACUAUGAAAUCCACUGGAAAAAUGAAUUUAUCCACUUUAAUCAAUACAUCUUCAAUUUUGCCUUCAGGAUAAGCAUGAGAUUUAUCAGCAAGUUGCAAUGUCACUGUGAUUGGUCUGACUUCUCCAACUCCCAAUUAUGUGAAUACUGAUAAUGGCAUAAGAUUAAUGCUUGCUCUCAAAUCACAAAGUGUCUUACUAUUGUAUUUAGUUCUUGUGGAACAAAGAAUUUUAAAACUUCCUGGAUCCUUUAACUUCUAAGGAAUUUUACUUUAAAGUAUAUGGUUCCAUUAUUGUCUUAAAGCAACUAUUUUGAAUUCUCCAAGCCUUUUUUUUCUUGCCAAUAUAUCUUUAAAAAACUUCACAUAAUUUGGCAUUUGUUCCAAUACGUCCACAAAAGAAAUUUUGAAAUGCAGUUGUUUUAAUACUUCCAAUAAUUUACUAAACUGCUUGUCAUGUUUUUACUUCUGAAAUCAUUACGGGAAGAUUUCCCCUUGGGUAUAAUUAGGUUAUGUUCUUCUUUUUGGUACUUUAACUAAAAUAUGAACAUCCUUUUCAGACCUUAAGUUAAUCACCUUGCAAUGCUCUUUUCUUUCUCUUCUUGGAUCCUCUGUAUUGCUUAGUAAAUUGCCCUAAGGUAUGUUGCUCAAUGCUGUAGCAAGCUGUCCAAUCUGAUUCUCCAAGUUUCUUAAAGAUAUGGCUUGACUUUGGACUACUACUUCAUUCUUCACAAUAUACUCCAUAAUUAGAGUUUCAAAGGAACUAAAUUGAUCAUUACUGGUGUUUAUUUUCCCUUAAAAUUGCUGAUGAAAUCCAAGUGGCUAAGCAGGUCUGUUAUGUCCAUUAGAUGUUGCAACAUGCUGAUUCUGAUUGCUCCAUGAAAAGUUUGGGUGCUGUCUCCAUUCAGGAUUAUAGAUGUUUGAAAAUGGAUUGGUUUGAUUUUGUCUAUUGAAAUUGCCCGCAUAAUUGACUAAGCUGGAUUUCCAGGACAACUAUCAUAUAGAUGUCCCUCUCCACAAUAAACACAAGAGACUUCAGCAACUUGGUUAGUUGUUGCUGGAGCAGUGGUCGUUGAUUUUACCAUAUUUGUUAAUGAGGUUACUUGGGCUGAUAAUGAUGUCAGUGCAUCCACAUUGUGUACUCCAGUUACUCCUCUUAUUGCGGCUUGUCUAAUUAAUGGCCAUUAAUAGUUAUUGUUGGCUAUCUUUUUCAAAAUUUCAUAAGCCUCAUUGUAUUACUUAGACAACAAGGCCCCUAGUGUUUGAGUUCAACCCAUUGUAGAUAGUUUCCAAUUGUACACAACAAGGAAUACCAUGAUGAAGGCAUCUCCUGGGUAACUCCUUGAAUCUUUCCCAUGCAUCAUACAAGCUUUCAUCUUCAAGUUGAUGGAAAGAUGUGAUCUCAUUCCUCAACUUUACAUUCUUUGUCGGUGGGAAAUAUUUCAUCAAAAAUUUGUCAGCCAAAUCAUUCCAUGUGGUGAUGGAGUCUAGUGGCAAAGAAUUCAACCAUGCCCUUGCUUGAUCUCUUAAAGAAUACGGGAAAAUUUUGAGUCUCAAUGCAUCUUGUGAUGCUCCAGCAAUUUUAAAAGCAUCACUUACCUCCAAGAAUAGUUUAAGGUGAAGAUGAAGAUCUUCUUAUGGCAAUUCAUUGAAUUGCCCCACUGUUUGUAAUAUCUAAAACAUCACUGGUUUGAGCUCGAAAUUGACAACUUGCAUUUCAGGUCUAACUAUUCCAGGAUGUAUAACUUGAGGGGUCAACACGGCAUAGUCUCUAAUGGCUCUGUCUCUAUCAUCUGUCAUGUAGAUAAUAUUGUUGUUCCCUGGUUGUCCCCAAAUAUUCUGCUCAUUAUGGCUUUCUUGGUCAUUAACUGGUUAUAUUUCUCUGUGAGGGUUCAAGUUCCUCAUAUCUUGCAAAUCGUCCAUUACUACAGCAGCUUUUGAAUGCUUAUUCUCUUUCCUCAAUCUCCUUACAAUUCUUUCAAUCUCUGGAUCAAAUUGGAAUUCAACAUGUUUGUAUUUGCGCAUGCAAGGGUUGGUAGAGCUCUUCUACAAACACAUUAAAAAAAAAGAAAAUUAAAAUCUUGCAUCAACUAAAAUUGAUUUCACAAAACACAAUAAGCACCAAUCCCCGGCAACGACGCUAAAAACUUAUUGUAGGUUUUCUAAUGCUAUUAGUGUCAAUGUGCAAGUGCACAUAACAAGUAAUAUAAUGAUAAAUAUUCUAGAUUGUCUCCACAAGGAUUAUUGUUAUAGGAAUUGCUACAACAAUUUUAUCAGUGCAAUUUUUAUUCUAAAUUAGAAUUAAAAUAAAUUAUUAAAUUAAUGAACUAAUUAAGAUAAAAAUGCAAUAAGAAAAAUACAAUAACAUAAAUUAUCACAGCAAAUAUAAGGAUGUAACCAAGGGGAAUGGAGUAGUUGAGUAAUUAAACUCACUUAAUGGUUUUGAUUAUUUUUCUAAUGUUUGGUUCGAUUACUACAACAUCUUCUACAGCACUGGGAAGAAUCCUUAUGUAUCCUCAAUUGUCGCAUGUUGGAUGUCUUAUACCUAAAAACAACUUAACAAUGACCAAUUGUUAUGCUAACAUUAGAUAUAGCAUUACACGUUUUAGAUUCGAAUUACCCUACAAGGUGAAUCCUUAUAUCUAGUUCAUCACUAAUUUUAGAUUACGCAUGACCUUUUUUUAAUCAGGUUAAACCCAAUUCAGGAAACCCAAUCUAAACCCAACUUAGGAAACCUAAUCUAAACCAAGUAUUGUUAUGAUAUGUUCCACUAAGACAGGUCUUUAUAGGCUCUAUCUUAGCUAAUAUCACUAAAUGGGUGGUCAGCCAAAAUAGUGAAUUGAAAUAAGUAUUAUUAAAACAACGUACUAUAGCAAACAUGCCCCAAUAUAGUAUAUCAGUCAAUUAACUAUCAAGUUUGCUCAUCGCUCAACCACGAGUAAAUUUAGUUCAUAAUUUGCAAUAAAACAAUAAUCAAAAUAGUUUUAGCCAUCAAAUAAUCCAUCAUAACAAGAUAAAAGUAAGAGAACAAAAAAUAAGAGUUGAGAUCUGUUUGAUGUUCUUCUAGAAUUCUUUGUUGCCGUCUUCGAUUCUCUCUCUUGAUAUUUGUUUUAUCUUGUUUUGUUUCUCUAUUGUUUCUCUCAAAUGACGGUCUCUCCUUUUUCUUUGCGUUUGUACUUCUUUUAUAUCUUAGCAUCAGGGCAACCGGAAGCCUAGGGUGCGCAUAUUCUAGUUUAGGAAACUCAAGAUCGCAAUCUUCCAAGUAUUAUAAGCGAAAUCUUUUCUGCCAUUGUUCCAGGAUUGCUACAGGAACAAUGCUACAGCAAUGGCUUCAGCACCUGCACUGUUCCAGAAUUGUUUCAAUUCUUAUAUAACCAUAUUCUUUCUUUAUCUUUGCAAGCCUAUUGCAGCAGCAUUCCUCCCUUGAAAUUUGAGCUUCCGGUCACCUAUAAUUAUAUUAUGAUCUAAGCACAAAAAUUAUUCUGAAACAAUGCAAUUUAUUAAAAUAAACUAUGGAUAUUCAUACAAAAUAUAACUAAAAUGCAAUAAAAAUAUGCCAUUUACUCUCUAAGUAAUCUUGAUUUAAGUCUAAAAAUGUCAUGAAAACUUUCAUUUCACAGAGUUAUCAGCAGCAAAAGGGUUAAUCCAACUAUUGAUUUAGAUCAAGUCUAUAAUGACAAUAACCCCUAACUAUUUGAGCUUAAAGCUCUUGCCAGCAAAUGGGCAAUUGGGAUGAAAGUCCUCUAUAAACAACUUGAAUAGAUAAGUAAAGAAAAAAAAAUGUGGCUUCACUAAGUCAAAACAAAACAUAUAAUCUAUUCAUUCAGUAAAAAAGAAAACAUUUUAGCCAAGCAAGCCAUCUUGAAAAAGAAAAAGGCAAUAUAUGAGAAUCUCGUGGAAUCCAACCUGCCAACACACAGUGGGAUAUGCAAGGUGCUUAAUCAUCAAUCAGAUUCUGGCUUUUGCUAUAAAAAAAAAAUCAAAAGAAUAAUCUAGUAAGGAAGACAUGCCGCUAGAUGAAGAGCUCAUAAUUAACACGUGACAGGAGGCCACUAAAAAGAUAAAGAUGCCAACUAGAAGCAUUAAUAUUUCAGAAAGAAUCCAAAGUAAAGGAUAAGACUUAUCGAAAUCCUUACCUCAACCAUGUGAAGACUAUCAACCAUUAGAAAAAGAAGACAAAAGUUGCCCUUAAUAAUGCAAGAAGAAGGGGUUACCUUAUCUCUGGGAAAUCUAUCAGGCAACAAGUGUCAUGUAAAAAGAUAUAAUCUUAUCUCUAAAAUCUAUAUGUGUAAGAAAGGAUUAUCUUAUCUAUCUAAAUCUAUAAAUAAAGUCACGUAAGAUAGAAGAGGUAUCACUCACGAGCAUUCUCUUAUUCUCAUCUGUAUUCUCUCUUUAAAUUCAAAAAUUAAAUAAAAAAAUUGUUUUUGAGUGAAAUUAUUAUCUUUAUAUAACUUAUUUAGAUUUUAGAAAAAAAAAAUCAAGAAUAUACAUGCCAACACUUGUGCUAAAUAAAGAAGAUUUCAUAUUACUAAGCACUCUUCUAUAUCAAUUACAACAGAUUCACUUAGGCAUAUCUUACUGGCUUAGUCUGCAAUGUGUUGCUUUAGGCCGUGUGGAAUAGUUGUGGGAUUGAUCUUGCAUGAUGUGUGGAGCUAUAACAGUGCUGAGCAUGGGCCAAUUUAUAGGCUCAUGGAACUAGCAAAAUUAUUCUAGAAUUUUGAGGAUUGUACUCUAGUUAGUACUCUAAAUUAUCUUAUUAUAUUUUGCACAAAUAAAUGAUAUAGAGUGAUAAUAGCAACUCAAUUUUCAUAAAACAUGGAAAGAUGAGUCGCCAAAUUUCUAGAUGCCAUAGAUAAUCUAGACUUUAGUAAGGAAUAUCAAGUUAUUUAUACAAUGAAAAUUGUUAAAUCUCGAUUAAUUGCAAGGAAGCACUUGUAGAGAGAUAUAGAGAGAAUAAACUAUUAGCCUAAAAGGGCUACACAUAUUGUAAUUUUGAUGAUAACAAACAUGUGUCUUAAGUGAUUUGAUAAAUAUUGUAUAUCACAUUUUCAUUAGUUCUUGAAAGAUAAUAUUUAUGAUGAAGUGAAUCACGAAAAAUCAAGCUCAAGACACUCAACGGACAACGGCGUGAUCAAGAAUAAAGUUUAGAGUUCAACGGAAUCAUUAUUGCGACAAUUCUUGUAAAGCCGGUAUGAUUUAAAAUAUGAAUGAUUUAGCAUUUAAAAAGCUCAAGAUUUUGUUUAAUAAAUCAUUAUUUUUUCAUAAAUCAAAAGUUUUACAAGUAUAAGCUAAGUAUUUUAUGAAAUUAGUUAUUUUUCAAGAUGUGGACUAAAAUGAAAAUUUUUUACAAUCUUUGAUUUUAAAAAGUAUUGUUUUGAAUUCCAGAGUUUGACUUAUUUGCAAACAUUUAAAACUUUUUAGGUCAUACUAUAAUUUAUGAACGUUUGAGGACCCGAAGUGAAAAUAUCCAAAAAUUUGAUAAAGAGUUAGCGGCUAAUCGCCUGAGGGCUAGCGGCUAGCUGCCUAAGGAAAAUCUCAUAUUUUCAAAUUUUGGACUAAAUUAAAAGAUUUUGAGAACUUUGAAAUUUAUAAGUAUUAUGUUAAAUUUUGAAAAAAAUUAUUAAACUUUGGACCAUAUCAUAAUUUCAAAAAGUUUUUAGAAUAACAAGUAUUAUUUUAAAAUUCAAAAGUUGGACCUGUUUGUAAAGUGUUAUAACGUUUUGGGCCAUAGUAUAAUUACAUAAAGUUUUGGGCACAAAUGUAACUUUAUUGUUCUGAAGCAACGAGCCGGAUAAAUUAAGUGGCUAGUCACUUGUUUGCUGGAAUUUACCCAUAACGGCUAAUUUUCAAGCUUUAUCUAUAAAAACUCAACUCCAACUUCAAUUUGGAGACUUUUGCAAGCAUAAACAAGUGCAUAAAAUAUAUAUUGAGCUUUUAUUUCGCAAAUCAUCUUAUAUUGAAUCAUCAUUGUGCUAUUAUUUGUAGAUCUACUCUAAAAGAGAGUUUUUUUUGUUGUAUUAUUCAUUUUUCUCAUCAAAUUUGUAAGUGUAUAAGUGUGAGAAACACUUAUGUGAAGAGAUUGAGAGAUAAUCUCUUGGUUGUAAAGGUUUAUUGACAUCUUGAAAGUCAAAUGUAAUGAACUUGAAGCCUUGGGAAACUUGAAUAGUGAAAUCCUUAAGGUUGGUUGGCUUGGAGGCAUGGACGUAGGCGGGGAUUGCGGAACCACGUAAAAAUUAUUGUGUUUGCUCUAUUUUCCCUUACUCUUCUAUUAUUGUACUUUAUUGAAUUUUUUAUUUUUUAUUUGAUUAAGACAAUAGAUUGAAUUGUUGUGCGAAUUGUUUAGCGUAAGUUUUAAAAUCUCAAUUCACCUCCCCCCCCCCUCUUGGAUUGCAUAACUUGCAUUUCAUAAACUUUAAAGAUAAUAAUUAAAUAUACGACAGCUUUAAGGAAGAAAAUAGAAUAGUAUUAAUAGAAUCUAUUUUAACCGGUCUUGAAAUAAUUCAAGACAGAUGCAAAAUAAAUAACAGGACUCUAAACCGUCCAUAAUAAGUCUAUUGAUGAAUAAAAACAAUAAUAGUGAUGUGAAUAUAUUCGGAUUUUAUAGAUUUUUAUGAAUUUGAUAACCAUUUAGAUCUUUAUAAAAUUAUAAUAAAACUUUAAAAAGCUUUAAAAAUAUAUGUAGAAAAGAUGGAAGAAGAAAUCAUCCAUUUAUUCAAAAUCAAUUAAACAAAAAUAAAAGGUAAAAUACUUGAGUUAUAUCAAUUAUACAAUUUCACAAAAAUUUUACAUAGAUUGCAAAAAGGUCCUUGUGGCACUACAGCAGGUUUCAUAAAUUUUUUACAUACAAAUUUUAUGUUUUAAAAUAUGAAUUUUUUUUUGUAUUUAAUACUUUGUUCAACUAUAUGUACAGGUCCUCAACGUGUUGGUUGAUGUUGAAUAUUCAAAGAUCCACAAGCUAUCAAUGACAACGACUCAAAUUAAACUAAUUCGUUAAUACAUAAUAACUGGGUUGUUUCCUAUGCUUGUUAAUGAUGUAGGACGUUGUUUUAGAAUUUUAGAAUUUUAAUUUUUUAGGUCUUCUGAUAUUUUCUUUUUUAAUUAAAGUUAGUGUCUUAGUCUUUUAUUUCUAUUGUAAUUAUGAUUUACUUUCCCUUUUUAAGUUAACUUAUAAAAGUAGAUUUACUCUAUUAUAAAUAAAGAGAUCUUGUUAUCGCUUUUAUAACUUCAACUUCAGUUAUUAAAUUAAAAACCCCUCUUUUAUAAUUUCCUUUGGUAUUAUCUAUUAAAAAUUCCUCUUUUAGAGUUGUUUGAUUAGAGUAUCAUUUAGCCUAUCUUAACACAGUAUUAAAAAUCCCAUUGAGUUUAAUCAUACUUCGAUUUGAGCGUAAUUAAUAGCAUUGAUUUGGUCCAGUACUUGAACGAUAUCUAGUGUUUUGCUUCUGCUACGCCCAAGGAGAAAAUGAAUUUCACCGUGAGAUAAGAGCAUUAAAAGGAAUUCAUAAGAAAUUUAAAUUAAAUUAGCUACGAAGUGAAAAUAAAUAAAUAAAUAAAUGAAUAUGAAGUUGAAAAUAAGUCUCGCCGCCUGGAUCCAAGGCCAAAACAUUCAUGAUAAGUUAGGUAAUUAAGUACAUGUUUUCAAGCUCUUCAUGAAGAAUAAUGUUAUUGAAAUAAAUCACAAAGACUCCCUGCGCAAAUUAUUACAUUGAUUAAAAAAAAAAUGCCAUAUCUUUAACAGGAUCGUGGCUCUCGGACUGUUAAUUACUUUAUUCCCUGCUUGGCCAACAGCUGGCCACUAAACAAAAUCAUAAAAAUUUUAAAUUUAGUCAAAUUGGUCCCACUUGAUGUCAUCCUUUUCAUACAUAAAAUUGUUUAACGUCAAGGUUAAAUAUGAGAAGUUUGGUAGAGACGGUAAAAAGGAAGUCUAUAUAAGGAGGGGAACGAGCUUUGUUUAUAGCACAAGUGAAACUCCACUUUAUUGAACGAUAGGGUCUCAAAUGGGCUGCCUCUUUGCCACUCUUUUGGUAGUAUCAGUCUCUCUUAGCUACUUGCCGUUAGAAGCCUCCGCAAACAAAUACUACUACACAUCUCCUCCCCCUCCCAAGUACAAGUCUCCACCCCCCCCGCCACCGGUUCACAAUUCUCCACCACCACCCCCGGUUUACAUGCCCCCGCCACCUCCUCCACCAGUCUACGUGCCUGCUCCGGCACCAACUCCAAUUUCCUAUUCCCCGCCACCUCCUGUCCCCAAGUCCCCACCACCACCUCACCCUUACGUCUAUGCAUCUCCCCCUCCUCCUUACUACUACUAGAAAGCGGCCAUGAAUAGCUCAUGCUUUUAUGGUAAUCUCAUUUAUUUUUAAAACU
rnacentral:lncRNA from 1 species